rnacentral:rRNA from 1 species
UACGUAGGGGGCAAGCGUUGUCCGGAAUCAUUGGGCGUAAAGCGCGCGUAGGCGGCCUGAUAAGUCCGGUGUGAAAGUCACAGGCUCAACCUGUGAAUGCCGGUGGAAACUGUCUGGCUUGAGUCCGGAAGGGGCGAGUGGAAUUCCUGGUGUAGCGGUGAAAUGCGCAGAUAUCAGGAGGAACACCAAUGGCGAAGGCAGCUCGCUGGAACGGUACUGACGCUGAGGCGCGAAAGCGUGGGGAGCGAACAGG